AAGUNGGAUGUGAAAGCCCCGGGNUCANCNNGGGAANUGCAUNUGAUACUGGGAAGNUAGAGUAUGUGAGAGGGGGGUAGAAUUNCCAAGUGUAGCGGUGAAAUGNGUAGAGAUUUGGAGGAAUACCAGUGGNGAAGGCGGCCCCCUGGCACAAUACUGACGNUCAGGUGCGAAAGCGUGGGGAGCAAACAGGAUUAGAUACCCNUGGUAGUNCACGCCGUAAACGAUGUCUACUAGCUGUUCGCGGCCUUGUGUUGUGAGUAGCGCAGCUAACGCAUUAAGUAGACCGCCUGGGGAGUACGGUCGCAAGAUUAAAACUCAAAUGAAUUGACGGGGGCCCGCACAAGCGGUGGAGCAUGUGGUUUAAUUCGACGCAACGCGAAGAACCUUACCUACUCUUGACAUCUACAGAAGAACGCAGAGAUGUGUUUGUGCCUUCGGGAACUGUAAGACAGGUGCUGCAUGGCUGUCGUCAGCUCGUGUUGUGAAAUGUUGGGUUAAGUCCCGCAACGAGCGCAACCCUUAUCCUUAGUUGCCAGCGAUUCGGUCGGGAACUCUAGGGAGACUGCCGGUGAUAAACCGGAGGAAGGUGGGGAUGACGUCAAAUCAUCAUGCCCCUUAUGACCUGGGCUACACACGUGCUACAAUGGAUGGUACAAAGGGCUGCAAAACCGCGAGGUUGAGCGAAUCCCAUAAAGCCAUUCUCAGUUCGGAUUGUAGGCUGCAACUCGCCUACAUGAAGCCGGAAUUGCUAGUAAUCGCGGAUCAGCAUGCCGCGGUGAAUACGUUCCCGGGCCUUGUACACACCGCCCGUCACACCACGGGAGUGGGUUGCAAAAGAAGUAGGUAGCUUAACCCUCGGGAGGGCGCUUACCACUUUGUGAUUCAUGACUGGGGUGAAGUCGUAACAAGGUAACCGUAGGGGAACCUGCGGCUGGAUCACCUCCUU
rnacentral:rRNA from 1 species